AUUGAACGCUGGCGGUAUGCUUAACAUAUGCAAGUCGAACGGCAGCACGGUAUGUAGCAAUACAUAUGGGUGGCAAGUGGCGGACGGGUGAGUAACGCGUAGGAAUCUGCCCUCAAGCGGGGGACAACCCGAGGAAACUCGGGCUAAUACCGCAUAAACUCGGAAGAGAAAAGCUGGGGUAAACUGGCCCUUGAGGAGGAGCCUGCGUCUGAUUAGUUAGUUGGUAGGGUAAAGGACUACCAAGGCGAUGACUAGUAGCUGGUCUGAGAGGAUGACCAGCCACACUGGAACUGAGACACGGUCCAGACUCCUACGGGAGGCAGCAGUGGGGAAUAUUGGACAAUGGGGGAAACCCUGAUCCAGCAAUACCGCGUGUGUGAAGAAGGCCUUCGGGUUGUAAAGCACUUUAGCUGGGGAGGAAGGUUAGCAGUUUAAGAGAUGGCUAAUUUGACUGUACCCAAAGAAUAAGCACCGGCUAACUCUGUGCCAGCCGCCGCAGUAA
rnacentral:rRNA from 1 species